GUGGGAAAUUCCUGAUUUGUUACCAACCCUCAGUGUGCAAAGCAGACCCAUGGGGUUACAGUCUUGCAAGCCUUGCAACUCAUGCCUACAAAGUAAAGAGGAAUGUGGACGGGCUGGUGGCUGCUGGUGUGUGUGUGACGACUGGAGAUACUGCUCAGACCGCUGCUGUGACAUCUGCUGCCAGAUGUGUGUGGACGUGUGCUCUGGCUUGUGUUCAGGAGACUGCAGCUACACCUUCUGUACUCUGUGCCUCAGCCUGGCACAGAACUGUGUCUCACUUUUUACCACCCAACAAACGGAAACAUCAGAGGCACAACAUGCUAUGAUGGAUCCAGAGCAGCAUGCCCAUUGAACAUGUGACCAAACACAAACGAUGCAUUGGUUUAAGUACCCAUAGCUUCACCAGAACAAGCUCAAGCGUAUCGUUGCUAUCAUGACUGAACAAAAGCACUCUGAACAAAACAAGCUUUCCUUCUCCUGGGUCACACCCCUGCAAUGGCAGAGACUGUGCCCGCUUUAACACUUACCACCUUUCAAGCCCCAUGCUGCACCUCAUUUCAUGUGGAUGGAUUUCUCUUGUAUCUGAUGUUUGGUUAUUGAAAAGGACGACUGCUAUAUUCAUAUUUUUAAGUAUGGGACUCUUAAAGAGACAAACGGGAUUCCCUGACAACAGCCAAGCCAAAAUGUGGCAUUUUUCACAUCUGGCUGAUUAAACCAAAGUGUAGAAACGUCCUCAUCCUGGCACCCAAGCAGUACUUCAAAGCACUCGUUUAGAUGUCUGCAAGAUUGUUUUUGCACUUUGAGGCAAACAAAAAUAUAAUUUGGUUGCACACGGUUGUACAAUCUGAUAUCUUUUUGUGAGAUAAGGCCGCCUGAGGACACAAGGUGCUAUUCGCUUGCACUGAAUUAGACCUUUUUUAUUAUCCUCCAUGAAAUUGCUAGUUUAUGGAAAUUUUAAUGAUUGAGUGAGCCAUGUCCCAGCAUCAAAAUAAGAUUAGAAUAAGGUCUAACAUCCAACAACACAGAGAGUAUGAUGGGCUGCACUGUGUCCCCGACUGUACCCAUCUCUGCUCCUGUUUUCUCCUCCUCCCAGUCCCUCUGGACUCUGCAGUGCAUUCAGUCCGACUCAAAUUCAUAUCCCUCUCAAACUCUGAGGAUAUGCUGUGUGGCCUAGUUUACUCCUUGAACUGACCUUAUCCUCCCCAAAGUUUCCGUGCCUAUAUUUAUAAUAUCCGCAGUAAAUCCUGUGAGCCCUAAACAAUUGUUAUAUACUUUACUCACCUCGAUUGAUUGAUUGUCUCUGAGUGUGGUUUCAUUGUAUAUAUUUUUCGGCUUAUUUGUUUCAAAUAUCUAGAGAGGAGAGGGUUGAAAUUUUGAAGCCUUAAUUGAAUAUCAGAAGUCCAGAAGGAGAUCUGAUGUGAAGUGAAAUAUUGUUCAUGAACGUUGCGCUCAGAUCAAUAAAGAUUGGGUACUUAAGUGUUGCAGAAAAGCUUCAAUUUUUUU